rnacentral:tRNA from 1 species
UCCGGGAUAGUUUAAUUGAAAACUUUUGCUUUACACGCAAGUAAUGGUAGUAGCUACCUCUUGGGA